GGCGGCAGGGUGCACUGCAGCCAGAGAGCCCGGAGUGGGAGGGCCGCCGGAGGAGGAGGGGGCGCCGGAGCGGGGCUGCGUCUUGCCCAACAGCAGGUGGAGAGUAUGGUGGAUGAAAUAACUGAAGAAAUCUUUAUGAAGGAGAGGAGUUGUAAACUUGAACUUGAAGGGUGGAUGUAAGCCAGGCAUCAAAUCUCUUCUGACAAGUGUGAAGAGUUGUUUUUUUCCUAAACAUUUGUGAAUGGAAAGUAGCUUAGUGCAUUCAAAGGGAAAAUAUUCACACUAGCACUUAGUUUUAAGCUAAAAUUAAUAAAAUUUUAUGUAAAAUAAAUCAACACCCAACAGCAUAAUUAUGUAAAAUAAAAAUGGCAACAUAGUUAGUGGACAUAAAAUUUGCUAAAGAGUAAAAACCAUAACUCUUGAGAUAUUUCUAGAAUUACAAAAUAUACUUAAGCACAACUCUGUGAACUGUGAGAUUUUAUUAUUGUUUUAGUUUUGAAAUUAUUCCAUCAUUGAUGUAAGUUUAAAUAAAUAAAAUCCACGUACAAUUUGUUGCAUGUCAAUUGAAAAUGGCAGUUGACCCAUUCUGUCUCUGCCCAGUGGUGACCUGCCCACUUCCCCAGGUGUUGUGCACAGGGACAUUUAUCUCCCACAAAAUUGCUUGCUCUCUCUGUUGGCCAAGGUUGAUUGUGUUUUUAUUGUUGUUGUUGGUAACCGAGUAUUUAAAAUUAAAGGAUUAGGAAUAAAACCUUUUCUUUGUUCCCAGAACAGCUUCCCUAAUCCUCUCCCUCCCACCCCAUCACAUUUUCUCUGCCACUACAAGACAGCUCUAGAGGGUGGUUCAGGACCACGGAGAGCGUGAGGAAGGGGCACUUCCAAAGCAUUCUCCUCAGGGAGGCAGGGAAGAGAUGGCCCUGAAUUUGUUGCUGGACAAUUUUCAUU